rnacentral:rRNA from 1 species
GACGAACGCUGGCGGCGUGCUUAACACAUGCAAGUCGAACGGAAAGGCCCUGCUUUUGUGGGGUGCUCGAGUGGCGAACGGGUGAGUAACACGUGAGUAACCUGCCCUUGACUUUGGGAUAACUUCAGGAAACUGGGGCUAAUACCGGAUAGGAGCUCCUGCUGCAUGGUGUGGGUUGGAAAGUUUCGGCGGUUGGGGAUGGACUCGCGGCUUAUCAGCUUGUUGGUGGGGUAGUGGCUUACCAAGGCUUUGACGGGUAGCCGGCCUGAGAGGGCGACCGGCCACAUUGGGACUGAGAUACGGCCCAGACUCCUACGGGAGGCAGCAGUGGGGAAUAUUGCACAAUGGGCGGAAGCCUGAUGCAGCAACGCCGCGUGCGGGAUGACGGCCUUCGGGUUGUAAACCGCUUUCGCCUGUGACGAAGCGUGAGUGACGGUAAUGGGUAAAGAAGCACCGGCUAACUACGUG